UGGGUACUUGAGAACACGGGCCCAGACUCCUACUGUGGUAUGGCAGCAGUAGGGAAUCUUCGAGCAAUGGACGUAAAGUCUGACCGAGCUACGCCGCGUGAGUGUAGAAGGUGUUUCCGGAUCGUAAACUCUGGUUGUUAGAGAAGAACAAGGACUGUUAGUAACUGAACGUCCCCUGACGGUAUCUAACCAGAACCUCGGCUAACUACGUGCCAGCACCGCGGUAAUACGUAGGUGGCAAGCGUUGUCCGGAUUUAUUGGGCGUAAAGCGAGCGCAGGCGGUUUCUUAAGUCUGAUGUGAAAGCCCCCGGCUCAACCGGGGAGGGUCAUUGGAAACUGGGAGACUUGAGUGCAGAAGAGGAGAGUGGAAUUCCAUGUGUAGCGGUGAAAUGCGUAGAUAUAUGGAGGAACUACCAGUGGCGAAGGCGGCUCUCUGGUCUGUAACUGACGCUGAGGCUCGAAAGCGUGGGGAGCAAACAGGAUUAGAUACCCUGGUAGUCCACGCCGUAAACGAUGAGUGCUAAGUGUUGGAGGGUUUCCGCCCUUCAGUGCUGCAGCAAACGCUAUAAGCACUCCGCCAUGGGGAUACUAACCCUCAUGUG
rnacentral:rRNA from 1 species